GUUAACAGCAACAAGUCACGUUGGACGACAAGAGGGCAGAGCUUCACACACACACCCACAUUUUUACACACCRACCUCAUAAAUACAGAGGCAGCACAAGCAUAGGAAGCAAAUCAUUCUCCUUCUGAGUCAGGAAAACCCUUUGUUUUGAUCUCACCAACAAGACAAAAUGAGUGAUCCUCAUGCAACAACUCCUGCAGCAGGGGAUGCUCAGGAAUGCAAAGGAAAGAAGGACGGACAUGGACACGGAGAAGGAAAGGGACAUGGACAUGGACACGGAGAGGGAAAGGGACAUGGACACGGAGAGGGAAAGGGACAAGGUCAUGGUGACAAAGAAGGUCAUGGACAUGGACAUGGCAAGAAAUGAAAGAAACCAUAGUGUUACAUAAGAAAUGAUGAAAUCACUAAAUUGAUAUUUUGUGAUGUUGUUUAAUCUAUAAUGGUAUUGCAACUCUAAUAAAAUACUCCAUUGCACAA